CCUACGGGGUGCUGCAGUGGGGAAUAUUGGACAAUGGGCGAAAGCCUGAUCCAGCCAUGCCGCGUGUGUGAAGAAGGCCUUCGGGUUGUAAAGCACUUUCAGUGGGGAAGAAAGCCUUGGGGCUAAUACCCUCGAGGAAGGACAUCACCCACAGAAGAAGCACCGGCUAACUCCGUGCCAGCAGCCGCGGUAAUACGGAGGGUGCGAGCGUUAAUCGGAAUUACUGGGCGUAAAGCGCGCGUAGGCGGUCUGAUAAGCCGGUUGUGAAAGCCCCGGGCUCAACCUGGGAACGGCAUCCGGAACUGUCAGGCUAGAGUGAAGGAGAGGAAGGUAGAAUUCCCGGUGUAGCGGUGAAAUGCGUAGAGAUCGGGAGGAAUACCAGUGGCGAAGGCGGCCUUCUGGACUGACACUGACGCUGAGGUGCGAAAGCGUGGGUAGCAAACAGGAUUAGAUACCCCAGUAGUC
rnacentral:rRNA from 1 species